rnacentral:rRNA from 1 species
AGGCUUCGGGCGCGCCCCCCGUCUAAGUUCCCUGGAACGGGACGUCGGAGAGGGUGAGAAUCCCGUAUGUGACGGGGCGGCGUCGCCCGUGUGAAGCUCUUUCGACGAGUCGAGUUGUUUGGGAAUGCAGCUCAAAACGGGUGGUAAAUUUCAUCUAAAGCUAAAUACGGGCCAGAGACCGAUAGCGCACAAGUAGAGUGAUCGAAAGAUGAAAAGCACUUUGGAAAGAGAGUUAAACAGUACGUGAAAUUGUUGAAAGGGAAGCGCUGGCGACCAGACGUGCGCGUCGGUGAUCAUCCGGGGCUCGCCCCGGUGCACUCGGCGACGCGCAGGCCCGCAUCGGUUUGGGGGGCGGGACAAAGGCCCCUGGAAUGUAGCUCCCCCGGGAGUGUUAUAGCCAGGGGCGCCAUGCCGCCCCCCCAGACCGAGGACCGCGCUCCGGCUAGGAUGUGGGCGUAAUGGUCGUCAGCGACCCGUCUUGAAACACGGACCAAGGAGUCUAACAUCUAUGCGAGUGUUUGGGUGGCAAACCCACACGCGGAAUGAAAGUGAACGGAGGUGAGAGCCCGCACGGGCGCAUCAUCGACCGGUCCUGAUGUCUUCGGAUGGAUCUGAGUAAGAGCAUAGCUGUUGGGACCCGAAAGAUGGUGAACUAUGCCUGAAUAGGGUGAAGCCAGAGGAAACUCUGGUGGAGGCUCGCAGCGGUUCUGACGUGCAAAUCGAUCGUCAAAUUUGGGUAUAGGGGCGAAAGACUAAUCGAACCAUCUAGUAGCUGGUUCCUGCCGAAGUUUCCC